rnacentral:rRNA from 1 species
AAGACGAGUCAUUACCGAGUUUACACUCCCAACCCAAUCUGUGAACGUUACCAAACUGUUGCCUCGGCGGGAUCUCUGCCCCGGGUGCGUCGCAGCCCCGGACCAAGGCGCCCGCCGGAGGACCAACCAAAACUCUUAUUGUAUACCCCCUCGCGGGUUUUUUUAUAAUCUGAGCCUUCUCGGCGCCUCUCGUAGGCGUUUCGAAAAUGAAUCAAAACUUUCAACAACGGAUCUCUUGGUUCUGGCAUCGAUGAAGAACGCAGCGAAAUGCGAUAAGUAAUGUGAAUUGCAGAAUUCAGUGAAUCAUCGAAUCUUUGAACGCACAUUGCGCCCGCCAGUAUUCUGGCGGGCAUGCCUGUCCGAGCGUCAUUUCAACCCUCGAACCCCUCCGGGGGGUCGGCGUUGGGGAUCGGCCCUGCCUUGGCGGUGGCCGUCUCCGAAAUACAGUGGCGGUCUCGCCGCAGCCUCUCCUGCGCAGUAGUUUGCACACUCGCAUCGGGAGCGCGGCGCGUCCACAGCCGUUAAACACCCAACUUCUGAAAUGUUGACCUCGGAUCAGGUAGGAAUACCCGCUGAACUUAAGCAUAUCAAAUAAAACGGAGGA